rnacentral:rRNA from 1 species
UACGAAGGGGGCUAGCGUUGCUCGGAAUUACUGGGCGUAAAGCGCACGUAGGCGGAUCUUUUAAGUCAGGGGUGAAAUCCUGGAGCUCAACUCCAGAACUGCCUUUGAUACUGAGGACCUUGAGUUCGGGAGAGGUGAGUGGAACUGCGAGUGUAGAGGUGAAAUUCGUAGAUAUUCGCAAGAACACCAGUGGCGAAGGCGGCUCACUGGCCCGAUACUGACGCUGAGGUGCGAAAGCGUGGGGAGCAACCAGGG